rnacentral:rRNA from 1 species
AUACGUAGGGGGCGAGCGUUGUCCGGAAUUAUUGGGUCUAAAGGGUCCGUAGCCGGUUUGGUCAGUCCUCCGGGAAAUCUGACGGCUCAACCGUUAGGCUUUCGGUGGAUACUGCCAGACUUGGAACCGGGAGAGGUAAGAGGUACUACAGGGGUAGGAGUGAAAUCUUGUAAUCCCUGUGAGACCACCUGUGGCGAAGGCGUCUUACCAGAACGGGUUCGACGGUGAGGGACGAAAGCUGGGGGCACGAACCGGAUUAGAUACCCGGGUAGUCCCAGCCGUAAACGAUGCUCGCUAGGUGUCAGGCAUGGCGCGACCGUGUCUGGUGCCGCAGGGAAGCCGUGAAGCGAGCCACCUGGGAAGUACGGCCGCAAGGCUGAA